CAAAGGGGGCUCGGGCAGCGGCUGCAGCAGCGUGACAGAUCAAGCGAGCUAGGUUGUGCCAUCUCUGGUCCUCUCUCUUCAAACGGUCGACACCGGGUGCUUACGAUCGACGUGACGGCGGCGGUGCAAGAGCAUGGCGUAGCUGGUCUGAGAGUGGCGAUGGACUCACUGCCCGCUGCUACUAUAUCAUCCAAAGUAGUGGCAGGGCGCAGCGGCACGAACGGCUCAGCCUCUGCCUUGUUCAUCCCAUUACCACGGAGGCGCUUUAAUUACUGACACAUAUGUUCUUAUUAUGCAACUGCAGGUGAUUUCUCGUCUUUCAACUCGGUCUAUUUUACACGUCAUACAUGGAGAGAGUUUAUACAAUGUUAGAUGAAGAGUUGGCGGUGCCACGGUGCCAAGGUUUGCUUCUCAAAACUGAUAAGAUCACAUGAUGCUUUUAUAUGCUUAUUAUUAAAUCACAGGCAAAUAACCCACUUCAACCUGCGUGAUAAUUAUGUAGUGAACGGAGCUUUUGUGUGAAUAAACUACCCAACUUUGUCAAGUGACUUAAUGGAGCAAGUCUUUAAUUUGUCACUAGCUGUUGUUCAGAAUUGAACUAGCGCUUCAUACAGAACAAUUUUGAGAGCAACUCCCCACAAAAAAAAUACAUCAACUAUAAUUGUUGGAAUCCUGAAGGUAGUUCCAUCGAAGUUUGUGAGUAUAUUUGCAAACCUCUGUCUACCUAUGAAUACUAUUAUCGAGAUAGUUUAAACCAUGUUGUUGGCCUGCUACAAUGCUCAAUGGUUUACCCUUGCUCAGAUCAAUUGUGGUGUGUUUGUAAUGGGAAUGUGGGAUGAUGUAUGAAGAGAUAAAGAAAAUUAUGCUCGCGGAAUAUGAGUAUGUAGUAACAGUUCUCUGUUAUGGUUCGCGACAAUUGUUCUGGUACAUCUCAUUGGUAGUUUAUAUGUAAUGCAAUGCCGUUUUAUAAUUAUCAUGCUAAAAAGUAAUGUUACAUUAGACAUUUCAACAUAAAUGAGUUGGACAACUGAGCCCACAAUAUAUAACCAUGUAUAUUGGGACACAACGUUUUGCCUCUGUGUCCAGAUGAGCCGGUCAUUCAUCAGUUGGAAUCCGCGCCAAAGAGUUUCAGUGGUGUUGAUGUUCGCCAGUAGUCCAGUACAUCGAGUAUAGAACAACCAUGUAUGCUGCAGGUGGUUACGGCGUAUAGCGGAUCUGACAGAACUAUUUUGAAUCUCGGUGGCUCUGUAUCAGGGUCUUCCUGUACUGAUGGUUGAAAGAUUUCCAUGUGGUAUGUGAUAUGGUACAGAUUUUUCGUUUCCUCGUAACUGUGAUCAGAUAAUCAUGGAUGACGAAAGGCAAACAAAUUCCUUGCCUUCCAAUUUAUCAGUCUUCAGUUACGCUCACGUACCGAGUGAAUAGAUUGCAAUGUUCUGUACUUCUUAUUUCUAAUUGAUUUCAUUCUCUAAUGGUUGCAUUAACUUGCCAAACAUUUCAUCUGGCGGAUGCAUGGGAGGGGAUAUGCAUCCGUCUAUGGUGGCAGUGGAACAGUCCUCACUGUAGGUGAUCUUAGAUAGGGAUGAGGUUAGCAACGAGGGCGAAAGAUGAUGAGGCUCCAGAAUCUAGAGAGUUGUUGUGAAAGCUGAUCCACAAGCACCAGGGUUUGUUAUAAAAGGAAAACUCUCUCGACCCGGAUGGAAAUAAUAUUCCUGGUAGGUAUUGUUGAGAGAUGAUAAGCUAGCUUACAGCUGAAUAUUGCACUGUUCCAUAGUUUUCCGGACUACGGAUGUUGUCGAUGAGCAGUAUGUUUUCUAAUGUAUGUUGUCAGCCAGGUCUGCCACAGUUCGUCGCAUCGCUAGCGAGGUUUGCCUGCGCCGUAGAAAGGGGGGAGGGGUGUAUAGAGGGAUGGUCUAGGUGGCGGCUUGGGUGGGGAUGGUGGUGGUGGUGGUGGGUGGGGGGUGGGGGUUAGCCCCGUUGCGUCUGUCUGGUAGACAACUUGAAGUAUUUAGAGAUAUAAUGCACUAUCUGGAAUCGAUACACAUUCCUGUGCCACUGUUUCUCGGGGUAGCCCUCUAAUUAGCAAGUGUUUUGUCAUGUGUGUGUGAUUAUGACAGAAAUUUGAACAGUGUGUCGAUUUAUCUCAUAAAUAAGUAUUCACUCUUACAGCACCACCAUGCAUGUUUUUUCACGUUUUCAACAGUUCAUCUUUCAAUUUUGAUUUCCAUAACCAUGCAUAUAUGGUGUAUUGAAUCAGCAAAUGAUAUUUAAGUGCUUAUUAGUUGUUGUAUGAACAUUUUCAGCUUUCAUUAGCCCAAUCGGUGCUUUGCACCGAUGCUUUCCUUUGUAGCCGGCAGACAACUCAGACAAAUGCAUCAUUAUCAUUUUGUUUUGAUGGUUUUGUCAAAAAAAUCAAAUGAAUUGAUCCUGUUUUUCUUUGUGCAGAAUUGCCUGAGAUGGUUAGUGAUAGUGAAAGUUAUGAUGACAGAUAAUUACUCCUCCAAGAAGAAGAAUCAGAAGAGCUGGCUAUUUGUGGGCCUUUUUCGUCAGUGGUAAGGUGACAUGGGCCGCGUUUGUCAGUGGCUGAGGAAAGGCGGUUCGAGCCUGACGUGGUCGUCGAUGAGGAGCUUCUGGAUGUCGCCGGCGCCGGCAAUCCUCGAGGGCAAAGGCUGCGACAAGCGGCGUCGACGGUGCUUGGGCAGCAACAAUCCGAGCAUGAUGAGGUCGAAGGCGUCGUGGUGGUGCAUUGGAGCUGGAGGAGGCGGCGGGCCAGUGCUGUUUGUGCUCAAGACGUACGAGAUGGUGGACAGCCCAUCGACGGAAGCAGCGGUCUGGUGGAGUGACGCGUUGGACACGACCUUCGUGGUUUGGUGCUCGCUGGAGUUUGCAUCUUCAAGCACAGAAAUUUCUCCAGUUUCAUCCAUGAGCUCCCCCCCCCCCUCUCUUACUGAAUCCCUACGCACCCCAAGCAAUCAAGGUCAAGUUUG